rnacentral:tRNA from 5 species
GCGUCCUUAGCUCAGCUGGAUAGAGCACGUCCCUUCUAAGGAUGUGGUCAUUGGUUCGAAUCCAAUAGGGCGUGCCA